ensembl:lncRNA
GAGGGAGGAGUAGGAGGAGCCAUGGCGGCGCUGUUGUGGAGAUUAGGGGAGGUCGGGCACCGCCGGGCAUUUGGGAGGUGGGGCCUCCAGAGCUCUAGAAGCUGGCAAGCGAAGAGGAGGAGGAGACCAGGCUAGAGUUCUGCGCCAAUCAGGAGUGCAGGCUACGUCUCCUUGACUACGGAUCGCUUUUUCUGUGUGUGUGUCUUCACUCUCCACCCGGGCAGAGCUUAAGAGCCGAUGUCGGUGCCAGGAAUCAGGACGUGAGCGGGCCGCCCUCCUGUUCUGGGGUGGGCGGUGGUUCAGGAGGGGGCCAGCGCGGGGGCCUCGGUUUGGCUCUUCCUGUGUGAACCUGGACAGGACACCGCCCUCUCUUUAGCCUCAGUUUUUCCUGGUGUGAACUGGGGGACAGCGCUACGUGCCGCGCGUCCUCGCUCUGCCCCAUUGGACAGACUAUUUCCCCGUCCUGAGGCCUCAGUUUCUGCAUCUCAGGACUGCGAAGAAGACAGACAUCCUAAGAGAUCAGCUGACGCCCUUUAUCUAGACAGUUCCAGACCUGAUUAUGGCUCAUACAAGCCCUACCUCAGCCCGCGGCGUAUUUCCUCCUCUGUAUAAGAGAAUCCCCUCCCCUCCCCCACCUCCCGGGCUGAUCCGAAGACUCUGCGCCAUAAAAAGGAAGACAGUGGCUUACCCAUAACAAGCAUUCAUUACAUGGAGGUUGUUCCUCUUACCAUAUUCAUAAAUGAACAACUUGCCCCAGGUUUCACACGCGAUGAGUGGUUGACUCAGAACCUUGUGACCAGUUUGCCCACGGUGGCCUAACCUGCCCUGGCCCACCUAUCUACCCUCUGUCUUCUCGUGUUUAAUGGGUUCCAGUCAUGCCUCCUUUCUGCUCCUAGAACACGGUGAUCUUCUUCCCACUCAUAUCCGAUGGCCUACUUGACAUCUCCACUUGGAUUUCUUAAUAGGCAUCUCAAACCUAAGAGAUGGGGUUUUGCCAUGUUACCCAGGCUGGGCUUAAACUCCCGGGCUCCAGUGAUCCACCUGCCUCGGCCUCCCAAAGUGUUGGGAUUACAGAUGUGAGCCACCAUACCCGGCCUAGGUUCUGUGAUUUUGACUACAUUAAUACUUCAUAGAUGGGAUUUCACCAUGUUGGCCAGGCUGGCCUGGAACUCCUGAUCUCAAGUGAUCCGCCCACCUCAGCCUCCCAAAGUGCUGGGAUUACCAGCGUGAGCCACCGCGCCUGACCAGGAGCAGGUCCUUAUUGAUGUAAGACAAUCAUGCUGUGCUCCUUCUCCUUGCCAGCCAUUGGUUGACACUCAGUCCGUUUGAGCUGCAUUUGUCUCACGCAACCUGAAACUUGCCACCGCUGCAAUCAUCACGUCCCACAUCCUGCCAUCCAGGAGGUUUCCCAGAGCCCCACUCAGCACGUCGCUGUCCCAUCGGUGUGCAUGGGGCACAGGCCGGAAUGGUUGGUCUGAGGCAGGGUCGCUGUUUCCUCAAAGCCCCGCCCUCUGCGCCCCAGUCACAGCAGCUGGCACACGGAGGAGGUGUGUGAAUCUGGGAAGAUGGGUGAAGAACGUCAUAGGAGGCGACCACAAGGUUCUCCACAUAGGCUUGCCAUAUUUAGUAAAUUAAAAUACACGAUGCAUUUAACAUGCAACGUUCAGUUGCAUUUAUUUCAAAUAAACACCAGAUGUAUA